GAUGAACGCUGGCGGCGUGCCUAACACAUGCAAGUCGAGCGAACAGACGAGGAGCUUGCUCCCCUGACGUUAGCGGCGGACGGGAGAGUAACACGUGGAUAACCUACCUAUAAGACUGGGAUAACUUCGGGAAACCGUAGCUAAUACCGGAUAAUAUAUUGAACCGCAUGGUUCACUAGUGAAAGUCGGUUUUGCUGUCACUUAUAGAUGGAUACGGGCCGCAUUAGCUAGUUGGUAAGGUAACGGCUUACCAAGGCAACGAUGCGUAGCCGACCUGAGAGGGUGAUCGGCCACACUGGAACUGAGACACGGCCCAGACUCCUACGGGAGGCAGCAGUAGGGAAUCUUCCGCAAUGGGCGAAAGCUUGACGGAGCAACGCCGCGUGAGUGAUGAAGGUCUUCGGAUCGUAAAGCUCUGUUAUUAGGGAAGAACAAAUGUGUAAGUAACUAGGCACGUCUUGACGGUACCUAAACAGAAAGCCACGGCUAACUGCGUG
rnacentral:rRNA from 1 species